CGGCGAGUGAAGCGGCAACAGCUCAAAUUUGAAAUCUGGCUCCUAGAGCCCGAGUUGUAAUUUGUAGAGGAUGCUUUUGAUGCGGUGCCUUCCGAGUUCCCUGGAACGGGACGCCAUAGAGGGUGAGAGCCCCGUCUGGUCGGAUGCCAAAUCUCUGUAAAGCUCCUUCGACGAGUCGAGUAGUUUGGGAAUGCUGCUCAAAAUGGGAGGUAUAUGUCUUCUAAAGCUAAAUACCGGCCAGAGACCGAUAGCGCACAAGUAGAGUGAUCGAAAGAUGAAAAGCACUUUGAAAAGAGGGUUAAAUAGUACGUGAAAUUGUUGAAAGGGAAGCGCCUAUGACCAGACUUGGGCCCGGUGAAUCAUCCAGCGUUCUCGCUGGUGCACUUUGCCGGGCACAGGCCAGCAUCAGUUUGUCUUGGGGGAAAAAGGCUUUGGGAACGUGGCUCCCUCGGGAGUGUUAUAGACCAUUGCAUAAUACCCUGGGACGGACUGAGGUUCGCGCAUCUGCAAGGAUGCUGGCGUAAUGGUCAUCAGCGACCCGUCUUGAAACACGGACCAAGGAGUCGUCUUCGUAUGCGAGUGUUCGGGUGUAAAACCCCUACGCGUAAUGAAAGUGAACGCAGGUGAGAGCUUCGGCGCAUCAUCGACCGAUCCUGAUGUUCUCGGAUGGAUUUGAGUAAGAGCAUACGGGGCCGGACCCGAAAGAAGGUGAACUAUUCCUGUAUAGGGUGAAGCCAGAGGAAACUCUGGUGGAGGCUCGCAGCGGUUCUGACGUGCGAAUCGAUCGUCAAAUAUGG
rnacentral:rRNA from 1 species